UUUUUACAAUAAUGAUCUACUCAGAGAUUCAUUUAGAAGCAAGAGAUCUCACAAACACGUUGAUGAAGACUUUUGGAUGAGGGAGGAUUCGGAUGUUGAAUCAAGCUGCGGUUGUUGGCAAUUCUUUCUAUUGUUCAAGAACAAAAGGAUUCGAUCCGAGCAUGCGAAGAAUUGCGGCGUAGGGAGGAAGCAGAUCGUUGGAAAGGAGGGUUGAUGUAUUGGGAUCCUACAGGUUGAUGCAUUGGGAUCCUGUAGAUUGGUUGGGUACUUUGUUCUUGAGCAAGACUUAUGAGAAGAGAAGGAAGAGAGGGAAAGAAAAAGGAAGAUGGAGAGGGGG
rnacentral:lncRNA from 1 species